rnacentral:piRNA from 1 species
CUGUGUGUCUAGGGACUGACUAGA